rnacentral:lncRNA from 1 species
AUCAUAGUGCAUGUUUGUGUGUGUGUGUAUAAAUAUUAUAAUGCAAUUGAUUUCUCAAGUGUUGGCUCUUAUUGAUAGUGAAAGAGCAGUUGAGUUUUACAUGAUCUCAAGGAAUCGUUUGGUUCAAAUUAGUCUGCUUAUUUUUAACAAGGCAGACAAAUCAACUACAUUUCCGAAGGAGUAGUUUAUGGUUGUCAACUACUACUGAUGAUGGCUAAUCUAUAUG